rnacentral:misc_RNA from 1 species
GAUGAAGAACGCAGCGAAAUGCGAUACGUAAUGUGAAUUGCAGAAUUCAGUGAAUCAUCGAGUCUUUGAACGCACAUUGCGCCCCCUGGUAUUCCGGGGGGCAUGCCUGUCCGAGCGUCAUUGCUGCCCUCAAGCCUGGCUUGUGUGUUGGGUCUCGUCCCCCUUCCCGGGGGGACGGGCCCGAAAGGCAGCGGCGGCACCGCGUCCGGUCCUCGAGCGUAUGGGGCUUUGUCACCCGCUCUGUAGGCCCGGCCGGCGCUUGCCGAUCAACCAAAACUUUUUUCCAGGUUGACCUCGGAUCAGGUAGGGAUACCCGCUGAACUUAAGCAUAUCAAUAAGCGGAGGA